GACUCGAUGGCGGAUGGUCCGCACCUGCCGUUCGUCGACACGAAAUGACGAAGAUAAAUAAGCAGGGGUCGCCUGUUCGAAUCAGGCUCGAGUCA